rnacentral:rRNA from 1 species
UACGUAGGGUGCGAGCGUUGUCCGGAAUUAUUGGGCGUAAAGGGCUCGUAGGCAGUUUGUCGCGUCGGGAGUGAAAUCCACUGGCUUAACUGGUGGCUUGCUUUCGAUACGGGCAGACUGGAGGUAUGCAGGGGGAGAACGGAAUUCCUGGUGUAGCGGUGAAAUGCGCAGAUAUCAGGAGGAACACCGGUGGCGAAGGCGGUUCUCUGGGCAUGUCCUGACGCUGAGGAGCGAAAGUGUGGGGGAGCGAACAGG